UUUAAUUUGAAACACUGAACAUAUUUUUCGAUAUUGAAAAUUCCAAAAGUAAUGCGUCUCUUUCCACGAUUUAUUAUUGAAUGAAGACCAAUUUUGACGGAUCAAAAUAUAGUUAUAUGUAUAUUAAAUGAAGCACAUAGAACCAGCAUGUAUUUGGAGAUAAGAUUUUUGGAACAAUUUUGGAAUUACUCCCCCCUAAAAUAACUUUCUAGUAAAAUUCAAGACGUCAGAAUCUAUGAACGCAGUGAACGCUGACGCUUGUUGCAGUCCAUAAAAGACGAUGUAAAUAAACUGGCAACUGGUGCCUGAAGAAGAAGGGACACAAUGAAGAACACGAGAAAAGCUGUACGCGGCUGUACGUUAACGUUUACAUAGAGAGAAUUUUUUUUAAAUACAAGAGCUAAAAUUCAUUUUA